rnacentral:tRNA from 1 species
AGCUCAGUACCUCAGUGGUGAGAGGAGUGCGCUCAUAACGCAACGGUCGAAGGUUCGAUUCCUUCCUGAGCUACCA